GACGUAUCUUUUUCAGCCAGUGCCGCCGUACACAACCCUAGCUGGUAAUGAUCAUUAACAAUGUUAGAGGAAAAGAGGCGACGUGAUCUCAGGGGAACUGAAGAACGUACAUGUUACUCGAUCAUAACAUGUUGAGAAUUCAUAGGUUAUAACAGGGGAUAUUCAACCUUUGCAAUCAUAAACCUUUGUUCAAGGUAUCAUGAGGCUGUGAAAUGCUUGAAAGUCUUCCUGGGAAAGAUUCUUGGAAAGCAAGCAUGGGAUACUUGAUCCGCAAGACACAGUCUCCAGAUUGCCUGAAAAUGUACUUCAACAUAUCAUGUCUUUUCUUCCGCCGUUAGACAAAGAUAAUGUUCGUUUUCUAUCGAGAGAAUGGCGCCGACGAAAUGCGCAAAACCAAACAGUGCUCUGGCUGACUAAGCAGCGGUUAAACGAGUUGGAAUUUCCAAAGGUUUUGAAUGAUGAGUUCCACUCAGUAGAUGAUUAAAUGCCUGGGGAUGAGAAACCUGAAGCUUGUGAAUUUUAAGCUAUUAAUUGUUCACUUGAACCGCUGUGGAAGCUUGAAGAAUUUGUACCUCAACACACCAAAUCUUAAAACUUUAUACUUCCAUGGACCGCGUGGCAAACCAUGCACGAUUGAGCUUAUUAAUUGCAAAAAGUUAAUGAAUUUGCAUUUAGUUGGGGUUGC